rnacentral:rRNA from 1 species
AGUGAACGCUGGCGGUAGGCCUAACACAUGCAAGUCGAACGGCAGCACAGUAAGAGCUUGCUCUUACGGGUGGCGAGUGGCGGACGGGUGAGGAAUACAUCGGAAUCUACUUUUUCGUGGGGGAUAACGUAGGGAAACUUACGCUAAUACCGCAUACGACCUACGGGUGAAAGCAGGGGAUCUUCGGACCUUGCGCGAUUGAAUGAGCCGAUGUCGGAUUAGCUAGUUGGCGGGGUAAAGGCCCACCAAGGCGACGAUCCGUAGCUGGUCUGAGAGGAUGAUUCGCCACACUGGAACUGAGACACGGUCCAGACUCCUACGGGAGGCAGCAGUGGGGAAUAUUUGACAAUGGGGCGAAGCCUGAUCCAGCCAUACCGCGUGGGUGAAGAAGGGCUUCGGGGUGUAAAACCCUUUUUUUGGGGAAGAAAAGCAGCAGGUUAAUACCCCGCUGUUCUGACGGUACCCAAAGAAUAAGCACCGGCUAACUUCGUG